rnacentral:rRNA from 1 species
GAUGAACGCUGGCGGCGUGCCUAAUACAUGCAAGUCGAGCGGACGGACGACAGUCUCGCUUCUCUGACGUUAGCGGCGGACGGGUGAGUAACACGCGGAUAACCUUCCUAUAAGACUGGGAUAACUUCGGGAAACAGGCGCUAAUACCGGACGAUAUUUUGAACCGCAUGGUUCAUAUGUUAUAGACGGUCUUGCUGUCACUUAUAGAUGGAUCGGCGCUGCAUUAGCUAGUUGGUAAGGUAACGGCUUACCAAGGCAACGAUGGAUAGCCGACCGGAGAGUGAGAUCGGCCACUCUGGAACGAAGGCACGGACCAGCCUCCUACGGGAGGCAGGAGGAGGGAAGCUACCGCGAUGGGCGGAAGCCUGACGGAGCAAGGCCGCGUGAGUGAUGAAGGUCGUCGGAUCGUAAAGCUCUGUUAUUAGAGAAGAACAGAUGUGUAAGUAUCUGUGCACAGUUGGCCGGAACCUAAGCAGAAGGCCACGGCUAACUACGU